CGUCACACUAUCAUUAACUGAAUCCAUAGGUUAAUGAGGCGAACCGGGGGAACUGAAACAUCUAAGUACCCCGAGGAAAAGAAAUCAACCGAGAUUCCCCCAGUAGCGGCGAGCGAACGGGGAGGAGCCCAGAGCCUGAAUCAGCAUGUGUGUUAGUGGAAGCGUCUGGAAAGGCGCGCGAUACAGGGUGACAGCCCCGUACACAAAAGCGCAUGUGCUGUGAGCUCGAUGAGUAGGGCGGGACACGUGGUAUCCUGUCUGAAUAUGGGGGGACCAUCCUCCAAGGCUAAAUACUCCUGACUGACCGAUAGUGAACCAGUACCGUGAGGGAAAGGCGAAAAGAACCCCGGCGAGGGGAGUGAAAAAGAACCUGAAACCGUGUACGUACAAGCAGUGGGAGCACAGGUUUACCUGUGUGACUGCGUACCUUUUGUAUAAUGGGUCAGCGACUUAUAUUCUGUAGCAAGGUUAACCGAAUAGGGGAGCCGGAGGGAAACCGAGUCUUAAUUGGGCGUUAAGUUGCAGGGUAUAGACCCGAAACCCGGUGAUCUAGCCAUGGGCAGGUUGAAGGUUGGGUAACACUAACUGGAGGACCGAACCGACUAAUGUUGAAAAAUUAGCGGAUGACCUGUGGCUGGGGGUGAAAGGCCAAUCAAACCGGGAGAUAGCUGGUUCUCCCCGAAAGCUAUUUAGGUAGCGCCUCGUGAAUUCAUCUCCGGGGGUAGAGCACUGUUUCGGCUAGGGGGCCAUCCCGGCUUACCAACCCGAUGCAAACUGCGAAUACCGGAGAAUGUUAUCACGGGAGACACACGGCGGGUGCUAACGUCCGUCGUGAAGAGGGAAACAACCCAGACCGCCAGCUAAGGUCCCAAAGUCAUGGUUAAGUGGGAAACGAUGUGGGAAGGCCCAGACAGCCAGGAUGUUGGCUUAGAAGCAGCCAUCAUUUAAAGAAAGCGUAAUAGCUCACUGGUCGAGUCGGCCUGCGCGGAAGAUGUAACGGGGCUAAACCAUGCACCGAAGCUGCGGCAGCGACGCUUAUGCGUUGUUGGGUAGGGGAGCGUUCUGUAAGCCUGCGAAGGUGGCCUGUGAGGGUUGCUGGAGGUAUCAGAAGUGCGAAUGCUGACAUAAGUAACGAUAAAGCGGGUGAAAAGCCCGCUCGCCGGAAGACCAAGGGUUCCUGUCCAACGUUAAUCGGGGCAGGGUGAGUCGACCCCUAAGGCGAGGCCGAAAGGCGUAGUCGAUGGGAAACGGGUUAAUAUUCCCGUACUUGGUGUUACUGCGAAGGGGGGACGGAGAAGGCUAUGUUGGCCGGGCGACGGUUGUCCCGGUUUAAGCGUGUAGGUGUGUGUUCCAGGUAAAUCCGGUUCACUUUAACACUGAGGCGUGACGACGAGGCACUACGGUGCUGAAGCAACAAAUGCCCUGCUUCCAGGAAAAGCCUCUAAGCAUCAGGUAACAUCAAAUCGUACCCCAAACCGACACAGGUGGUCAGGUAGAGAAUACCAAGGCGCUUGAGAGAACUCGGGUGAAGGAACUAGGCAAAAUGGUGCCGUAACUUCGGGAGAAGGCACGCUGACACGUAGGUGAAGUGAUUUACUCAUGGAGCUGAAGUCAGUCGAAGAUACCAGCUGGCUGCAACUGUUUAUUAAAAACACAGCACUGUGCAAACACGAAAGUGGACGUAUACGGUGUGACGCCUGCCCGGUGCCGGAAGGUUAAUUGAUGGGGUCAGCGCAAGCGAAGCUCCUGAUCGAAGCCCCGGUAAACGGCGGCCGUAACUAUAACGGUCCUAAGGUAGCGAAAUUCCUUGUCGGGUAAGUUCCGACCUGCACGAAUGGCGUAAUGAUGGCCAGGCUGUCUCCACCCGAGACUCAGUGAAAUUGAACUCGCUGUGAAGAUGCAGUGUACCCGCGGCAAGACGGAAAGACCCCGUGAACCUUUACUAUAGCUUGACACUGAACAUUGAGCCUUGAUGUGUAGGAUAGGUGGGAGGCUUUGAAGUGUGGACGCCAGUCUGCAUGGAGCCGACCUUGAAAUACCACCCUUUAAUGUUUGAUGUUCUAACGUGGACCCGUUACCCGGGUUGCGGACAGUGUCUGGUGGGUAGUUUGACUGGGGCGGUCUCCUCCUAAAGAGUAACGGAGGAGCACGAAGGUUGGCUAAUCCUGGUCGGACAUCAGGAGGUUAGUGCAAUGGCAUAAGCCAGCUUGACUGCGAGCGUGACGGCGCGAGCAGGUGCGAAAGCAGGUCAUAGUGAUCCGGUGGUUCUGAAUGGAAGGGCCAUCGCUCAACGGAUAAAAGGUACUCCGGGGAUAACAGGCUGAUACCGCCCAAGAGUUCAUAUCGACGGCGGUGUUUGGCACCUCGAUGUCGGCUCAUCACAUCCUGGGGCUGAAGUAGGUCCCAAGGGUAUGGCUGUUCGCCAUUUAAAGUGGUACGCGAGCUGGGUUUAGAACGUCGUGAGACAGUUCGGUCCCUAUCUGCCGUGGGCGCUGGAGAACUGAGGGGGGCUGCUCCUAGUACGAGAGGACCGGAGUGGACGCAUCACUGGUGUUCGGGUUGUCAUGCCAAUGGCACUGCCCGGUAGCUAAAUGCGGAAGAGAUAAGUGCUGAAAGCAUCUAAGCACGAAACUUGCCCCGAG
rnacentral:rRNA from 1 species